AAAAAAAAACACUUUAUUAAUAUUUGGGAAUGUUUCCAUUUUGUUAUUGAAUGAUUUUGUUUGUGUGAAUUUUAUUUUUAAAAUAAUUAUUUAUUUUUCUUGAUUAACUGUAAUUUUAUUUUACUCUUUCCUGUUCUGUGAUGUCAUUUCCGCCAGGCUUCCGAAGUUUCCUGUAGUUUGACAGCUUUCGACGCUGAGGAAGAAAAGCGGUGCAAGGAGUCAAAGAGAAGAAGUUUAUGUGAUUUUUACUUCAUUUUCAGGUGUUUUAGUGAGAUUAUAUAGUCGUACCUGAAAGUCGGAGGGGUGUGGCCACAGGUGUGGUGACCGCCAGUGUCUCUGAGGGAAGCCACGUUUCUCGACGAGGCAAAGCUAAGGCAGCCGGUCGGGCCGGGCUGAGCUUUUUUUCCCCCUCCCCCACGGUGGAAGCAUCCCACGUUCGGGGGCGGCCGGUCAGAGGAGGCAAGAGAGUCCGCAGCUGCCUCGUUCACAGGUGCACGAGGAACGACGCAAGCUCCACUCAUGUCUACGAUUCAAAGUCUGACAGCAUAUCAGAGCCGUCCUAGUCUGUGAGGCAGAGGGCUCAAAUCAAAAGGUGAUGCACGAUUCCCUCAAUUCACUGCUAAUUUGGUGGAGGUGACUGCAGGCCACAGAAGUGAGAGAGAGGCUGAAACGGUUUUGAAGAGCACUGACCUAGUACAGACAGCAGGGGACAACCCAAGCUCCCGCCUGGAUCCUCGGGUCCACUGGUCCUCUAUACAGUCCCCUAUCAUCAUGGCCAGGUGCGCUGAUUGCUGAUAGAUGAAUUGUGAAUGUGUUAAUAUGUAAAACGGACCAAACUCACCACAAAGUUAACAACUACCAGAUUUGGAAGAAAUAUUUUAAAGAUUGAACAAUACCAUCAAUCCCACGUGGGUCCUCGGCAUUGUCCGUGGGUGUUCGGGCCCCGAAGCACCCAGAGGAUCGGCGCCGAUGCCUCUGGACAUCAUAUAUCAAUGUUUUUUUUUAUUCCCUGUGAAAACAAAAAUUAUCUAACAAUGCUAUGGUGAAUUUAAGACAAUUUAUAAUAUAUCUGCGGGUCUUUGAAGAACACUGACCUAGUCCAGACAGCAGCGGACAACCCAAGCGCAUAAACGUGCUUUUACUCGUGAAUCUGUAUAGCAGAAUUAUUCUUCGCCAUCCAUGAUGAAGAUUGAGAUGAGCGGGAAAUGAACCUCAUCCCUCACUUUGAUUAAUAACUACAAAGUGUAAUUAAAGACUUUAGUUAAUUCCCCUGUCUUUGCUCCCUGGUAACCGUUUUUAAUCAUUUUCCUCCUGAUGGCUCUUUAUAAUUAAAUGUCUCCAUUAUAUGAACUCCGGUAUCUUGAAAUAUACUGCGUGUAAAAUACAAUGCACCGCAGAAAAGGUCAAAUAAAUACAUCUGACAUUGCAGAAGAAAAAAAAAAAGUCCCUGCACUUACUGAUUCAAGGGCCUGCAUCAUUUAGAAGUUCCAAAAUUAGGGCUGCCUAAGGAAAAUGUAAUCAUGAUUAAUGACAACACAUCCUGGGUUAAAUUGCAAUUACUUUGUUUUUGUUCUUACGCCGAUAUUCAACUUUAUAAUACUGCAGGGUCAGCCACGUAUGCUUGAUUUGAACAAAUAGCUGGUAUUUUAUUGUAUUAAAUCACAGGUGUCAAACUCGAGACCUGGCUUGCCACAUCAUUUUAUAAGGACCGCAAAAACCUGGAAAUAAUUUACUAGUAAUAAUAGCAAAAUAAUGUUAUAGUCAUGAUCCGUUUCAGGGACACCUAUUAAUGGUGAAAAAGUAUAUUUAUCUGUGAUUAUCGAGAUUAAUUCUGAGUAACUAUGGACAAACUACGAUUAUGCGCGAUUAAAUAUUUUAAUCGUUUAAAAGCCCAAAUUUUUAUAUAUUUUUGUACAUACUCUGUCACCAGAAUUAUUACUAAUAAUAAUUUGAUAAGUACUGCGUUUACCUAACUCUAUUUUGACAGAACAAAUACAUUUACUGCAUGCAAAUUACAGAAUUUGUAUUCCUGAUUUAGAAGCCCUUGCAUUAAGUGGAGCAACAUUACGUUUAUAUGCCAGUUUCACACUUUAUUAACACACUGUGAAUUUCUACAAUCGUGCUUUGAUUGUCAAAGAUGUUUGGUAAUGUAUGUCAUAUUUUUUCUACCCAAAUAUGUGCUUAUGGUAUGUAAAUUAAUGCAUUCAUAUCGCUACUUGACAAUGCUUUAACUUUCUCUAUUUACUAAUAAAAUGUCAUAUUCUGUCUGUUAAA